rnacentral:lncRNA from 1 species
GAGCCACAUCCCCAGACCUUAUUUAUUUAUUUUUAAUAUUUAUUUUUUAGUUCCAGGUGGACACAAUAUCUUUAUUUUACAUUUAUGUGGUGCUGAGGAUCAAACCCAGUGCCCCAUGCAUGCCAGGCAAGCACUCUAUCACUGAGCCACAACCCCAGCCCCAUAUUUUUAAUUUUAUUUUGAGACAGGGUCUUAAUAAGUUGCAUAGGGCUUCACUAAAUUCCUGAGGCUGGCCUGGAGCUUGUGAUCCUCCUGCCUCAACCCCCAGAGUACCUGGGAUUAUCCACGAGUGUCACUGCACCAGGCUUUAGUGUACUUACAUUUGCUUUCUUUUUUGCAGGUGUGGGUAUCAAGCCUAAGGCCUUGUGUAUGCUAGGCAAGUGCUUUACCAAUGAGCUACACCCCCAGCCUGUAACUAUCCAUAUAAAUAUAUAUUUUUGGUAUUUGGGAUUGAACCUGGGGUGCUUCACCACUGAGCUACACCCCCAGCCCUGUUUAUUUUUUAUUUUGAGACAGGGUUUCACUUUGUUGCUUAGACCUCUCACCCUCCCCAGUCUCUGGGAUUACAGGCAUGUACCACUGUGCCCUGCUGUUUGUGAUUAUAUUUCUUAAUUGUGGAUUAAACAACUUUAUCAGAUAUUGAUAGAUUGUGAGCAAACAAAGUUACCCUGGACUAGAUCCUUGCUAUAGACAGUCUCCUUUGAAUCCCCAAACAGCAGUUCUUUAAAAUUGGGAGAAUACAUAAAAAUUUUUAAUGUUUUACAUAAAAAUCUAUAUUUUAUUUUUAAUGUGUUUCUGAAAUAUCAGAGAUUGAGUUUGACUUUUCACUGAGGGCUGGCAGUGUACCUCAGUGGUACAGUAUGCCUGUGGCCCUGGGUUCAAUCCAGCACCAGGAAAAAAAAAAGUAAAGAAAGAAAAUGAAAAGCCUCAUCUUAUUAGGGGCUGAGGCCAAGUAGUGGGAGGUUUUAUAUUACCUGCCUAGCUACUGAAGGCAUUUUCAGUGUGUGAGCUUGUAUUUCACAGGAAUCUAAUUUUAGAAGUUGGUUGCCAUUCCUCUUGGGAACAGUAAGGAAUUUAAGGAAGUUUAAGAACGUCCUCAGUUCUUUACUCUGCCUGAAAAACUGUCUCUUAUUUGCAACGAGAUCUGUCAGUAACUAGCAUUUUUAGAUUCAGGUUUUCAACAAGCUUUAUAAUUUGGCACAGUAUUGAAAUCUUGUGUCAGCACCCCUAUUUGAACUUCGUUUCCCUAACAUGUCAUGAAUUACUGAGCUGAUCAUGUCACUUCUUGUUUUUAAGUUUUUGUUAUGUAUCAAAGUACUAAUUUUUUUAUUUUUUAGUUGUAAUUGGACAUAAUAUCUUUAUUUUAUUUAUUUUUAUGUGGUCCUGAGGAUCAAACCCA